GUCUGUAUAUUUUAAUGUAAUAGUGUGUUGAAGUUGCAAAGGUGGCGGAUAGCCUGCAGGCA
rnacentral:tRNA from 1 species